rnacentral:lncRNA from 1 species
GGGUAGCCACUACAUGCUGCUAGGUGUCACUGGUGGAUGGUGGGACUCAUAGGGAUUAUCUUGAUGAUCGAUAAACCCUAAUGAGUUGAGUUGGAAUCGUUCCAACCCAUUGAAAGGAGUUUUCAAUGAUAUUGUGAUAGAGAUCACAAUAUAUCUCACUACCAGUCAGAAUAGAACCUAUGGGGUCACACACACUAGAAGUAUUGACCGAUCCGAUGGUUGAAAUCGUGAUUAGGAAUCACAAGAAAUCAAUUUGAUUGAUAAAAAGUUGAAGAAGGAACAAAGGCAAUUGAUUAAUUGGACUUAAACACAAAUCCUACUUCAGGUAGGAUUCCUAGAGUCCUAAUUGGAUUAGGGCUGGGAAUCCUAGUUGGAGUAGGACUGGAAUUCCUACUUGGAAUAGGAUUCCUACAAUCCUAAUGAGAUUAGGAAUUUUGAAUUAAAAUGGGAUUCCUACUUGGAGUAGGAUUCCUAGAAAUCCUAAUUGGAUUAGGACUUCGGAUUCAAAUAAGAGUCCUAAUUGGAUUAGGACUAAAAUUAAACAAAUCCUAAUUGGAUUAGGAUUCCUUAAGUCUAAAUUAAUUAAUAAUCUAAUGAAUCAACAUGACUCCUAAUUGGAUUAGGAUUGAAGAGUU